rnacentral:tRNA from 1 species
UCCCUGGUGGCUCAGAUGGUAAAGCAUCUGCCUGCAAUGCAGGAGACCCAGGUUUGAUCCCUGGAUAGGAAG